UUUGUUCUGGAGGAAUGAGUUUGUAGCACAAGAAGUGCUGUGAGCACCGAGUUUGUUCCUCUCCCUUGCUGUUUCCUUUCCUUAGAGUGUGUGGGAAGGUGUUGACUGUUAGUAGGUCUAGUUCCUGCUCUUCCUUUAAACUGGGUCAUUGCAGUUUACCCUCCUACCUUCUAGAAACCCAGAGGCAUAAAACAGAACAAACAGUAAUGCCUUGAAAUGCUACAGAGCUCUUGGAAACCAGAAGGGUGGCACCUGGCUGCUGGAGCGUGUCUUGUGUGGACUUGGAGAAGAGAAGUCUGCUGAAAUGUUGGGCAAACAGAGCCUGGUCUAACCCAGGCAGUUUUGAGAUGUCUGUUAUCUUCGUCAUCCUUUGGAUCACACCUUCGCUAAAGGGAGGUGAAGCUCGGGCAUAUGGAUGGUGCUUGCAGAGAUGCAUCUUCAUCUAUGAUAACGUUUACUUUAUAACACAUACUGGAAAGGCUGUUAGUACAGAAGAAUAUGGAGAUCCAGGACUCUAAUGCACGUGGCAUGUAUUUUCCAUUGGAAGGGAGUGUUGCAAUUUCCAGCUAAAGUUACUGUGCUUUUGUGGCUUGCCAAGUCCUUGCGUGCAGUUUGCCAUACUCUGCUUUCUCAGUACCACACGGCAAAGGGAUAUGUCCACCCCAGCUUCUCACCUGCACUGUGCCGGCCACGGGGAUCCCUUGAGCUCCCAGAGCUGUGUGUCCCCUCGUGGUGGGGACAGAGUGGAGACAGAUCUUGGCAAUGCCACCCGGUGAGAGCAGGAGGGGCCACAUUUGGCCAGCUUUGAGCCCCGUGAUGGAGCUAGCCUGGCCCUGGGGACCAUGGACCUUGGGGAUCCACCACCCCCACGAAGAAGGGAGUAUUGAGCUUCCUUGGAAGUAGGAGACCAUGAUUAUCUCACUCCUUCUGCACUGAUUUCUUCACUACCCCUGGGGGUACAGCCCCAGGGUUUGGCCUUGGAGCAUGGUGCAUCCAGCAUGUCUGCAGAGCACGGUUAAGCCCAGAGCAGGAGAGAGGAGCUGCCCAGGGCAAAAUAGAUGUAGCACCAGCACAAGCAGUGAUGGGUGGCUUUGUUGCUCUCCAUGCUUUCCCUUCCCUGCCUCCCAACACUUUGCGGAGUUGUAAAGGUCAGAGUACUUAAACUCACCAAAGGAAAUGCAGUAUGUAGUAUUUGACUUUUCAGAAAUACAGCGUGGUGGCAAUUGUUAAACCUGCUUCCCUUCAUGCACCAACAGCCCCUGCGAAAUAACAUGUUAACAGAAUAUAUUUAGAAGCAGAUGGUGAAGCAGAAAGCGAGCACUGGAGAGCAGCUGAGUGCUGCAACCGGAGCGCUGUGGGCAGGUCUCUGCAAAGCUGGAGGUGAGCGGCCAGGGCUGUCCUGCAACCUUGGGGCAGGGCGUGUGGAUGGGGUACAAGGCUGUCUGCAUACAGGGAGGGGAAGGAGGUGACAGUGCUGGUAGGAAUGUAUCUACAAGGGUCUCUUGUGCUGCCUGUCCCUCGAUACCUGCCCUCACCUCCCCAGCAGAGCGUUGGCCAGCCCAGGCAGCGCUCCCUGAAACCAGCCCAGGGUAUUGGUUGCUUUGGGUUGGUUGGUGUUGACACAACCUCCAGGUACAUCCUGCUGGUCUGAUCUGAAGAUGGGAACCCACCAGACUCCUGUUACAAUGUACGAAGUGGGCAAUACCAGUCAAUCACACAUCUGGAUUAUUUAAAGAGUUAGAGUUACAGGUAUGUUUUCAGCUGGCCAACAGUGGCAUCUGUAUUUUGGCAGCACAAAUGCAAAUUGUAAUCCUGCCAAUGAGACAAAUCUUUGCGUGCGCCCUGGUGCGUUCACAAGUACAAGUCUACUCGAGACAUUCCUGGUUGCAACUGUGAAAUAAUCAAUGAUUGCUUUUUGAAAGUCACAAGAUUCUGGCUGAUUUGUCUUUUCCCACGGAAAAAUACUAGCAUAUAUGAUCUCAGUAUGUGGCGGUAGCAAUGGAGGAGCUAUCGACAGAAAUAGAGAAUACUCCUGAGGAUGCUUGCUAGCUGGCAGCUGAAAACUUGUCUGCUGAGCUCCCUUUUGGGUAACCGAAGGAGACUGGCUGUUAGCAAUGGGAAUUUGAAACUGUACCCAAGAACUGCACUGAGUGCUCUUCCUCCAGUGUGGGAAUACCAACUGGCUGCCUGUUUUAGC